GGGGGGAGCACCGGAUCCUAGGCUGUGUCCCCUGGUGCCCUGGGCUCCGGGGCCUGCCUGUGCCACUGGAAUCGCCCUCCCGGGUGCGCAGCUCCCU
rnacentral:pre_miRNA from 1 species